ensembl:snRNA U6 U6 spliceosomal RNA
GUGGUCACUUUAGAAGCUUAUAUAGUAAUGAUUGGAAAGAUACAGAUGAGAUUAGCAUGGGCCCUGUGCAAUGAAGACAUGCAAAUUUGUGAAAUGUUCCACACUAAA